UACGUAGGUGGCGAGCGUUGUCCGGAUUUACUGGGCGUAAAGGGAGCGUAGGCGGACUUUUAAGUGAGAUGUGAAAUACCCAGGCUCAACUUGGGUGCUGCAUUUCAAACUGGAAGUCUAGAGUGCAGGAGAGGAGAAUGGAAUUCCUAGUGUAGCGGUGAAAUGCGUAGAGAUUAGGAAGAACACCAGUGGCGAAGGCGAUUCUCUGGACUGUAACUGACGCUGAGGCUCGAAAGCGUGGGGAGCAAACAGGAUUAGAUA
rnacentral:rRNA from 1 species